rnacentral:tRNA from 1 species
GUCUUAGUGGUUAAGAGCUUGGCUGCUGACCAAAAGGUCGGCAGUUCGAAUCUACC